UGGAAGCUGUUCAUUCUCUCCCAAGCCUGAAACAGCGGAUAAACGACCCCACCUCAUGCUGGGAAGAGAGAGCUUGGGAUCCCUGGCAUGUGAGAAACAGAGCCUGGCGUAGAUCAGAGCCACCCAGAGUGUCAUGACUGAGCUGCAUGCUUUCACCAGCAGGGAGGAGGGAACUGAUACUGGAGUCGGCAUUCUCAAGAUGACCACAAUGAGCAGCAUUGAAGAGCCAGCGUUCAAAUGCUUCUCCCACAUGGGAGUCAGUAUUCUGCAGAGAUGGAUGAUUCUCAGAUCACCACUUAGCUUCCUGAAGCCAGAAACCUAUGUCAAAG
rnacentral:lncRNA from 1 species